rnacentral:rRNA from 1 species
UCCUGGCUUAGGAUGAACGCUAGCUACAGGCUUAACACAUGCAAGUCGAGGGGCAUCAUGAUCAAAGCUUGCUUGAUGAUGGCGACCGGCGCACGGGUGAGUAACGCGUAUCCAACCUUCCCCCUAGUAGGGCAUAGCCCGGCGAAAGUCGGAUUAAUACCCUAUGUUUUUCCAAUGAGGACAUCUGAGCUGGAACAAAGAUUUAUCGCUAGGGGAUGGGGAUGCGUCCGAUUAGCUUGCCGGCGGGGUAACGGCCCACCGGGGCGACGAUCGGUAGGGGUUCUGAGAGGAAGGUCCCCCACACUGGUACUGAGACACGGACCAGACUCCUACGGGAGGCAGCAGUGAGGAAUAUUGGUCAAUGGGCGUAAGCCUGAACCAGCCAAGUAGCGUGCAGGAGGACGGCCCUAUGGGUUGUAAACUGCUUUUAUGCGGGGAUAAAGUUCACCACGUGUGGUGUUUUGUAAGUACCGCAUGAAUAAGGACCGGCUAAUUCCGUGCCAGCAGCGGC